UCCCUGGUGCGUCAGUGGCUAAGACUCCUUGCUCUCAAUGCAGGAGGUCCAGGUUCGACGCCUGGUCAGAGAA
rnacentral:tRNA from 1 species